GCAAGGUUUUCGUCUUGGUCCUCCGUGCUUCACAUAAGCUCAGAGAAGUUUUCUGCAUGGGCCAAUGGACAGCUCAGAGUCCUGUUGGGAUAACAUGUACGCAAUGACUGUCCCAGACUGCAAGCUGGGAACCAGCACAGAGAUCCAGAAAGGUCACCUGGAGGAGACUUGGCUGGAUGGCCGAUGCCAAGGGCAACCGAAGAUGGGUCUGCAUGUGGCUGACCAUGGGACACCAGUCACUACAAGGGGCACGCGCCUCACACCUUCAUCCCCUGCUCCCAGGCCAUCCCUGGUGUUCUUCUCAAACUUAGGUAAAUGUGGCCUGUGGUCCAGUGGUAAAGGAUCCGCCUUCCAAUGCAGGGGACGUGGGUUCGC